AGCGAACGCUGGCGGCAGGCCUAACACAUGCAAGUCGAACGAACCUUUCGGGGUUAGUGGCGGACGGGUGAGUAACACGUGGGAACGUGCCUUUAGGUUCGGAAUAACUCAGGGAAACUAGUGCUAAUACCGAAUGUGCCCUUCGGGGGAAAGAUUAAUCGCCUUUAGAGCGGCCCGCGUCUGAUUAGCUAGUUGGUGGAGGUAAUGGCUCACCAAGGCGACGAUCAGUAGCUGGUCUGAGAGGAUGAUCAGCCACAUUGGGACUGAGACACGGCCCAAACUCCUACGGGAGGCAGCAGUGGGGAAUCUUGCGCAAUGGGCGAAAGCCUGACGCAGCCAUGCCGCGUGAAUGAUGAAGGUCUUAGGAUUGUAAAAUUCUUUCACCGGGGACGAUAAUGACGGUACCCGGAGAAGAAGCCCCGGCUAACUUCGUG
rnacentral:rRNA from 1 species